UUCGAUCAAGACCGAUGGGGGGACGCAGACUUGAGGUCUACCUGCGCAAUGGUUUCAAGGGUAGGCUGAAGGGAGAUCCGGAUUGGUAAAUCCGCCGGGUCGUCUGCCAGGAAAAGCCUCUAAGGAGAGUUAGGUAUCCGUACCACAAACCGACACAGGUGGACGAGAUGAAUAUUCUAAGGCGCUCGGGUGAUGGUUUGUUCAGGAACUAGGCACAUUAGCUCCGUAACUUCGGGAGAAGGAGUGCCCACGCAAGUGGGUCGCAGUGAAGAGUCUCAGGCGACUGUUUAACAAAAACACAGGUCUCUGCUAAGUCGAAAACGACGUAUAGGGGCUGACGCCUGCCCGGUGCCGGAAGGUUAAAGGGAGAGGUUAGCGCAAGCGAAGCUUUGAACUGAAGCCCCGGUGAACGACGGCCGUAACUACAACGGUCCUAAGGUAGCGAAAUUCCUUGUCGGGUAAGUUCCGACCUGCACGAAUGGCGUAACGAUCUGAGAACUGUCUUAACAAGCCGCCCGGCGAAUUUGUGGUCCCGGUGAAGACGCCGGGUGCCCGCCACUAGACGGAAAGACCCCGUGCACCUUUACUAUACCUUUUCAUUGAACUAUGGGGCCAUCUGCGCAGGAUAGGUGGGAGGCUUUGAUUCCGGGCUCUCGGGCUCGGAGGAGCCAACGGUGAGAUACCACCCUGAUGGUUCUGUGGUUCUAACCUACUCCCGUAAUCCGGGAGAGGGACAAUGGAAGGCGGGUAGUUUGACUGGGGCGGUCGCCUCCUAAACGGUAACGGAGGCGCGCGAAGCUUGGUUCAGGCUGUUUGGAAAUCAGCCGACGAGUGCAAAAGCAUAAACCAGGUUAACUGCGGGACCUACAAGUCGAGCAGAUACGAAAGUAGGCUUUAGUGAUCCGGUGGUUCUGUAUGGAAGGGCCAUCGCUCAACGGAUAAAAGGUACGCCGGGGAUAACAGGCUGAUCGGAGUCAAGAGUUCACAUCGACGCUCCGGUUUGGCACCUGGAUGCCGGCUCAUCGCAUCCUGGGGGUGUAGAAGCUCCCAAGGGUUAGGCUGUUCGCCUAUUGAAGCGGUACGUGAGCUGGGUUCAGAACGUCGCGAGACAGUUCGGUCCCUAUCUGUGGUGGGCGUAGGAGAUUUGAGGGGGCCUGCCCUUAGUACGAGAGGACCGGGGUGGACGAACCUCUUGUGAUCCAGUUGUCACGCCAGUGGCACCGCUGGGUAGCGAAGUUCGGUCAGGAUAAGCGCUGAAUGCAUAUAAGCGCGAAACCUUCCCCAAGAUGAGAUCUCCCAGCCGAAAGGCUAUGAAGGGCACAGGUAGACUACCUGUUUGAUAGGACGGAUGUGUAAGCGUAGCAAUACGUUGAGCUUACCGUUACUAAUUGCCCGUUCGGCUUGACCAU
rnacentral:rRNA from 1 species